AUUGAACGCUGGCGGCAGGCUUAACACAUGCAAGUCGAGCGGGGUGAUGGUGCUUGCACUAUCACUUAGCGGCGGACGGGUGAGUAAUGCUUAGGAAUCUGCCUAUUAGUGGGGGACAACAUCUCGAAAGGGAUGCUAAUACCGCAUACGUCGUACGGGAGAAAGCAGGGGAUCACUUGUGACCUUGCGCUAAUAGAUGAGACUAAGUGGGAUUAGCUGGUUGGUGGGGUAAAGGCCUACCAAGGCGACGAUCUGUAGCGGGUCUGAGAGGAUGAUCCGCCACACUGGGGCUGAGACACGGCCCAGACUCCUACGGGAGGCAGCAGUGGGGAAUAUUGGACAAUGGGGGGAACCCUGGUCCAGCCAUGCCGCGUGUGUGAAGAAGGCCUUAUGGUUGUAAAGCACUUUAAGCGAGGAGGAGGCUCUUUUGGUUAAUACCCAAGAUGAGUGGACGUUACUCGCAGAAUAAGCACCGGCUAACUCUGUGCCAGCAGCCGCCGUAA
rnacentral:rRNA from 1 species